ACCUGCCUCCAUUGCACGGGGAAGGAUUUUUGGCAGUGGGGGGCACCAGAAGGGUUGGGGAGGAAGGGGGGAGGGUGGAUGAGUAGAAUGAGAACUGGACGGCUCACAAUCACGUCCAGGCUCUCGUCCCUCAGGAGUGUCUUGUUGCACUCAUUUGCUGCUGCAAAGAGCCAGCUUUGAUUUUUCUUGGAGAGGGCUCCAGGCACCCUAACAUCUCAGCUAUGCCAACACCAUGAAGCUGCCUCAGUUUCCAUGAAAUUCAUAAUGAGCCAAGUGGCUUCAGAUGUGGUUGCGUUCCUCCGAUUAGCCAGCAAAAAAAUAAAGGAAAAAAGGAGGAAAAAAGGGACAAAUCCACCCUUUCAGACCUUAUUUCAGUUUCAGAAAAAUUAAAAACCACUAAUGACUUAUGGCUACCAAAACAUGGAGCCACAAUUAGGAGAGAAGGAACUAGGAAAAUGAGGGAGAGAGGUUUAAAAGUGAUAGCCUUUCCCUCCUAAAAAUAACAGCUUCGAUAUCGGUAAUCUUAUCUUAAAUCAGAGAGAGCCUUUCCUGCGAUGGUAUCUGCCUGGAGU
rnacentral:lncRNA from 1 species